AAUUUGGGUAUUAAAUGUUUAUGUGCGUCACUUUAUUCUGUAAAGGUGUAUGAAUCAUAGGGGCUUGUCUUCCGGAUUGAUAAUUGUAAUUUAAAAGUACUACACCUAUAUACAUAAACUCUCAACUUUGAGAGUUUAUUUAUUUUUAUUUAUAUCAUUUUUAUUUUAAACUGUGUCCAUUUUCUUAAAACACAGGUACAGUGAAUUCAGUAUGCAGAUUGUUGAAGGGAAAACAUCAAGACGGGGCGAAGAAGACAACAAAACAUGAUUACCCAGAUUGAGGAUCCCAGUGUUCUUUGUCUCAAGCUACUCAGCCUACCAUGAGAAAAUUAAAAGAUCUGUCAUGAAGAAGAUGCGGGUUCUCAACUUUCAUAUUAUAAAUGGCAA